AGUUUGAUUCUGGCUCAGAUUGAACGCUGGCAGGAUGCUUUACACAUGCAAGUCGAACGGCAGCACGGACUUCGGUCUGGUGGCAGGUGGCGAACGGGUGAGUAAUGUAUCGGAACGUGCCUAGUAGCGGGGGAUAACUACGCGAAAGCGUAGCUAAUACCAUACGCCCUUCGAGGAAAGCGGGGACCUUCGGGCCUCGCACUAUUAGAGCGGCCGAUAUCGGAUUAGCUAGUUGGUGGGGUAACGGCUCACCAAGGCGACGAUCCGUAGCUGGUUUGAGAAGGACGACCAGCCACACUGGGACUGAGACACGGCCCAGACUCCCACGGAGGCAGCAGUGGGAAUUUUGGACAAAAUGGGGGAAACCCUGAUCCAGCCAUCCCGCGUGUGCGAUGAAGGCCUUCGGGUUGUAAAGCACUUUUGGCAGGAAAGAAACAGCACGGGAUAAUACCCCGUGCAACUGACAGAUACCUGCAGAAUAAGCACCGGCUAACUACGUGCCAGCAGCCGCGGUAAUACGUAGGGUGCAAGCGUUAAUCGGAAUUACUGGGCGUAAAGCGUGCGCAGGCGGUUCGGAAGAAGAUGCAUGAAAUCCCAGAGCUUAACUUUGGAACUGCAUUUUUAACUACCGAGCUAGAGUGUGUCAGAGUGGAAUUCCGCGUGUAGCAGUGAAAUGCGUGAAUGCGGAGGAACACCGAUGGCGAAAGGAAGCAGCCUCCUGGGAUAACACCAGCGCUCAUGCGAAAGCGUGGGAGCAAACAGGAUUAGUGCUACCGGUCACGCCCUAAACGAUGUCAACUAGCUGUUGGGGCCUUCCGGGCCUUGGUAGCGCAACUAACGCGUGAAGUUGACCGCCUGGGAAGUACGGUCGCAAGAUUAAAACUCAAAGGAAUUGACGGGGACCGCACAAGCGGUGGAUGAUGUGGUUAAUUCGAUGCAACGCGAAAAACCUUACCUACCCUUGACAUAUCUGGAAUCCCGAAGAGAUUUGGGAGUGCUCUCGCAAGAGAACCGGAACACAGGUGCUGCAUGGCUGUCGUCAGCUCGUGUCGUGAGAUGUUGGUUAAGUCCACAACGAGCGCAACCCUUGUCAUUAGUUGCUACGAAAGGGCACUCUAAUGAGACUGCCGGUGACAAACCGGAGGAAGGUGGGGAUGACGUCAAGUCCUCGCGGCCCUUAUGGGUAGGGCUUUACACGUCAUACAAUGGUCGGGACAGAGGGUCGCCAACCCGCGAGGAGCCAAUCCCAGAAACCCGAUCGUAGUCCGGAUCGCAGUCUACCAUAUCGACUGCGUGAAGUCAGGAAUCGCUAGUAAUCGCGGAUCAGCAUGUCGCGGUGAAUACGUUCCGGGUCUUGUACACCGCCCGUCACACCAUGGGAGUGGGUUUUACCAGAAGUAGUUAGCCUAACCGUAAGGAGGGCGAUUACCACGGUAGGAUUCAUGACUGGGGUGGUAAACAACAAGGUAG
rnacentral:rRNA from 1 species